AAAAAGAAGACGUCAAAAAGAAAACCGACAAGGAAACUGCUAGUGAUGUGAAACAAAAAGAGCCAGGGAAAGCUCCUGAAACCAAACAAGGGACUACAAAAGUUGCAGCACACGCAACAGCCAAAAAAGAUGAGAAGAAGGAAGGAACCCACUGGGAGUCUGCAAUGUACCCCCCCUUGAUGAGGGAGACCACUGCGCAUUGCUAGCGAUGAGUGAAUGAUGACUU